rnacentral:rRNA from 1 species
UACGGGGGGGGCUAGCGUUGUUCGGAAUUACUGGGCGUAGAGCGCGCGUAGGCGGAUCUGCAAGUCGGGGGUGAAAUCCCGAGGCUCAACCUCGGAACUGCCUUCGAUACUGCGGGUCUCGAGUCCGGGAGAGGUGAGUGGAAUUCCUAGUGUAGAGGUGAAAUUCGUAGAUAUUAGGAAGAACACCAGUGGCGAAGGCGGCUCACUGGCCCGGUACUGACGCUGAGGCGCGAAAGCGUGGGGAGCAAACAGG